CUGCAUCGAUCUACUCAUCUAGUAUACUCGAAGUCGAAAAAAAACUCGAACAAAACCCCUCGGCGUCUCUCUUCACUUGCAGCAGAAAGAGUCAAAGAGGUAAAGUUUAAUGUUUAUCCAUGUAUUAAUUCUAGGCUUCGUAUGCUUGUAAGUUGUAUUGUAACAUUUGUUCCAUUCGAGAUCUCUGACCUCUACUUCUUCUUUUUCUAUCCUUUUGCAGCUAGGGUUUUUACAUAUUUCUUCAGGUUUGCCCCUCUUUCCCCGACCCUUUUCUUCUUUCUGUUGAUUUUUGUUGAAUCUGUUGAUAUUGAGUUCUUGAUUGCUUUGUUAAGUGUUGUUAACUUUAAUAUGUAUCGGUUUAUUUGGAUUGUUUUGAAUCUGUUGAUAUUUUGGUUUGUUAAGCCUUCUAGCCACGAUCAAUCUCAGUACUGCAUAACAAGAGUGCAGAUUUCACAUUAAUUUACACAAAUUCUAGUAAUAUUUGAAAAUCGUAACCACUUUCUAUGGUUAUUCCUUGAAAAUCUUAGCAUAUUAUGAAUAUUUUCUGGGGGAAUUUGAUGACCACCUUAUUUAUUUGGAAAGUGGAAAGAAUAGUAUAAUGUUUAGAAAAGAAAAACGAAAAGGAAAUUGGCUUUUAGGUUUUUUCCCCUUAUAUUCCUAGUACUUUCAUUCUGUAAUGUUAACUAUUAAUGUGUUUGAUGCUUAGCAAUUAACUUGUUGUAUUAAUUAUUCAUUCUAGAUUAGAUUUCUGUUUUUGUGCUGUUGAAUGAUUUUGGAUUUGAAAGUUAACUGAUUUUUUGACCGAUGAUAAAUUUUUGGAUGUUGGUGCUGGUGUUGCUGGAAUUUUUGGAUGUUGGUGCUGCUGGAAUUUUUGGAUGUUGGUGCUAGUGUUGCUGGAAUUUUUGGAUGUUGGUGUUGCUGGAAUUUCUGGAUGUUGGUGCUGGUGGUGCUGGAAUUUUUGGAUGCUGGUGUUGCUGGAAUUUUUCCUUCAAAGUUCAAAUUAUGCUGGAUGUUUAGGUUUUAAUUUAUUGUUGGUUGCUAAUGUAUUUGCUUGUAUUUUUCUAGUGCGAACAGACUUUUAAUUUGAGAUUUUAAAAUUUGAUCAUGCAUUUUACAUAUUGCAUUGAUUUAUCACUUUGAGAAGUAUAUUAAAAGUUUGCAUCUCUGUAGGAUUUUAAUUAUUGUCUUAAUUCAUGUCCAGAUUUUCAUUUAUAUUGAAAGUUAGUAAAUUCAUAUUAAAACUUAGCCAUGUGAAUUAGCUUAACAUUUAUUUUAAAAGCUGAAAUCGUAAGCCAAUUUUAAAGCUUAGCCAUGCUAAAUCUUCCCAAACCGUAAGCCAAUUUUAAAUCAAAAACCAAAAGAACCCAUG
rnacentral:lncRNA from 1 species